rnacentral:lncRNA from 1 species
CCAGAAGGUGGAAUGAGCCAUGGGGGGACCCCAGAAUGUGGAAGGAGCCAUUGGGGACCCCACAAAGGUUUGGGGUGCACGGCUGACCCCCAUCCCCUCGGCAGGGGCGGCCGUGGGGACCGCACGGGGCGUUACGGGGGUGCCCCACCCCUCUCCGAGGACGGCUCCCGCAGCCAGCGCGACCACGACUAUCGCGACAUGGACUAUCGCGGCUACGGGGGACCCCCGGAGGGGCCCCCCGCUGCCGGGACCCCCCCUCAGGCCUCCUACGAGAACUCGGAGCCCCCCCGCAAACGGGAGCAGCCCCGGGAGCCUCCCCGGGACCCCCCGGCGCUGCCGUUCGGCGCCGACGGCGAUUACCGGGACCAGGAUUACCGGGAGGGCGCCGAGGAGGAGCCGAGGGCCAGCACCAUCGUCAUGCUGCGCAUGCUGCCCCAGGCGGCCACCGAGAACGACGUGAGCCCCGCCCUCUUUGGCCACGCCUUCUUUUUUGGGAAGGCGCCACCCCUUUACCUGGCAGAGCC